rnacentral:rRNA from 1 species
AACGAACGCUGGCGGCAUGCCUAACACAUGCAAGUCGAACGAGACCUUCGGGUCUAGUGGCGCACGGGUGCGUAACGCGUGGGAACCUGCCCUUAGGUUCGGAAUAACUCCCCGAAAGGGGUGCUAAUACCGGAUAAUGUCUUCGGACCAAAGAUUUAUCGCCGUUGGAUGGGCCCGCGUUGGAUUCGCUAGUUGGUAGGGUAAAAGCAUACCAAGGCGACGAUCCAUAGCUUGUCUGAGAGGAUGAUCAGCCACACUGGGACUGAGACACGGCCCAGACUCCUACGGGAGGCAGCAGUGGGGAAUGUUGGACAAUGGGCGAAAGCCUGAUCCAGCAAUGCCGCGUGAGUGAUGAAGGCCUUAGGGUUGUAAAGCGCUUGUACCCGGGAUGAUAAUGACAGUACCGGGAGAAUAAGCUCCGGCUAACUCCGUG